UACGGGGGGGGCAAGCGUUGUUCGGAAUUACUGGGCGUAAAGGGCUCGUAGGUGGCCAACUAAGUCAGACGUGAAAUCCCUCAGCUUAACUGGGGAACUGCGUCUGAUACUGGAUGGCUUGAGUUUGGGAGAGGGAUGCGGAAUUCCAGGUGUAGCGGUGAAAUGCGUAGAUAUCUGGAGGAACACCGGUGGCGAAGGCGGCAUCCUGGACCAACACUGACACUGAGGAGCGAAAGCCAGGGGAGCAAACGGGGAUUAGAAAA
rnacentral:rRNA from 1 species